GACGAACGCUGGCGGCGUGCUUAACACAUGCAAGUCGAACGGAAAGGCCCUGCUUUUGUGGGGUGCUCGAGUGGCGAACGGGUGAGUAACACGUGAGUAACCUGCCCUUGACUUUGGGAUAACUUCAGGAAACUGGGGCUAAUACCGGAUAGGAGCUCCUGCUGCAUGGUGGGGGUUGGAAAGUUUCGGCGGUUGGGGAUGGACUCGCGGCUUAUCAGCUUGUUGGUGGGGUAGUGGCUUACCAAGGCUUUGACGGGUAGCCGGCCUGAGAGGGUGACCGGCCACAUUGGGACUGAGAUACGGACCAGACUCCUACGGGAGGCAGCAGUGGGGAAUAUUGCACAAUGGGCGGAAGCCUGAUGCAGCAACGCCGCGUGCGGGAUGACGGCCUUCGGGUUGUAAACCGCUUUCGACUGUGACGAAGCGUGAGUGACGGUAAUGGGUAAAGAAGCACCGGCUAACUACGUG
rnacentral:rRNA from 1 species